CACGCCGUAAACGUUGGGCACUAGGUGUGGGGCUCUAUCAACGGGCUCCGUGCCGAAGCUAACGCAUUAAGUGCCCCGCCUGGGGAGUACGGCCGCAAGGCUAAAACUCAAAGGAAUUGACGGGGGCCCGCACAAGCGGCGGAGCAUGUUGCUUAAUUCGAGGCAACGCGAAGAACCUUACCUGGGUUUGACAUGUAGGGAAAAGCCAUAGAGAUAUGGUGUCCUUUUGGGCCCUACACAGGUGG
rnacentral:rRNA from 1 species